rnacentral:lncRNA from 1 species
CGGGGUUGGUGUCCCCGUGCAAGGAGGUUGGCGAGGCCUCAGGGGACUCCCAGUUCAGCGAAUCCGUUAGCCUUCCUCUACCUUAGUCACUUCCCCGUGAGGCACUCCGUGUUUGUGUACACGGUUAUUCCACGUGUCAGUCAGUUCAUCGGGCGCAUCUGGAGUCAUUGAAAACAGUAAUAGGAAGUCAAACAAACCCGCUUGAUGCAAAAAUUCAGGAGGACAUUCGGUUUUUAAGGAAAUAGUGCUGAGGAAGGACCAGGCUGGACCUCUUUGGACCCUGAGACUGGGAGGGUCUCGCUCUGUUGCCCAGGCUGGAUGGAGUACAGUGUUGUGACCACAGCUCACUACAGCCUCAACCUCCCAGGCACAAGAGAUCCUCCCACCUCAGCCUCCUGAGUAGCUGGAACUACAGGACAGACCAAUCUGAGGUCAGAGUUAGCAGCAGGAUACAUCCUGGUCCUCUCUUGCCCCUGAGAUCUCGCUGGGGCUGAUGGCACUGCCACUGCUAUGGUUGG